rnacentral:rRNA from 1 species
UGAACGCUGGCGGCAUGCCUUACACAUGCAAGUCGAACGGCAGCACGGGUGCUUGCACCUGGUGGCGAGUGGCGAACGGGUGAGUAAUACAUCGGAACAUGUCCUGUAGUGGGGGAUAGCCCGGCGAAAGCCGGAUUAAUACCGCAUACGAUCUACGGAUGAAAGCGGGGGACCUUCGGGCCUCGCGCUAUAGGGUUGGCCGAUGGCUGAUUAGCUAGUUGGUGGGGUAAAGGCCUACCAAGGCGACGAUCAGUAGCUGGUCUGAGAGGACGACCAGCCACACUGGGACUGAGACACGGCCCAGACUCCUACGGGAGGCAGCAGUGGGGAAUUUUGGACAAUGGGCGAAAGCCUGAUCCAGCAAUGCCGCGUGUGUGAAGAAGGCCUUCGGGUUGUAAAGCACUUUUGUCCGGAAAGAAAUCCUUGGCUCUAAUACAGUCGGGGGAUGACGGUACCGGAAGAAUAAGCACCGGCUAACUACGUGCCAGCAGCCGCGGUAAUACGUAGGGUGCGAGCGUUAAUCGGAAUUACUGGGCGUAAAGCGUGCGCAGGCGGUUUGCUAAGACCGAUGUGAAAUCCCCGGGCUCAACCUGGGAACUGCAUUGGUGACUGGCAGGCUAGAGUAUGGCAGAGGGGGGUAGAAUUCCACGUGUAGCAGUGAAAUGCGUAGAGAUGUGGAGGAAUACCGAUGGCGAAGGCAGCCCCCUGGGCCAAUACUGACGCUCAUGCACGAAAGCGUGGGGGAGCAAACAGGAUUAGAUACCCUGGUAGUCCACGCCCUAAACGAUGUCAACUAGUUGUUGGGGAUUCAUUUCCUUAGUAACGUAGCUAACGCGUGAAGUUGACCGCCUGGGGAGUACGGUCGCAAGAUUAAAACUCAAAGGAAUUGACGGGGACCCGCACAAGCGGUGGAUGAUGUGGAUUAAUUCGAUGCAACGCGAAAAACCUUACCUACCCUUGACAUGGUCGGAAUCCCGCUGAGAGGUGGGAGUGCUCGAAAGAGAACCGGCGCACAGGUGCUGCAUGGCUGUCGUCAGCUCGUGUCGUGAGAUGUUGGGUUAAGUCCCGCAACGAGCGCAACCCUUGUCCUUAGUUGCUACGCAAGAGCACUCUAAGGAGACUGCCGGUGACAAACCGGAGGAAGGUGGGGAUGACGUCAAGUCCUCAUGGCCCUUAUGGGUAGGGCUUCACACGUCAUACAAUGGUCGGAACAGAGGGUUGCCAACCCGCGAGGGGGAGCUAAUCCCAGAAAACCGAUCGUAGUCCGGAUUGCACUCUGCAACUCGAGUGCAUGAAGCUGGAAUCGCUAGUAAUCGCGGAUCAGCAUGCCGCGGUGAAUACGUUCCCGGGUCUUGUACUCACCGCC